rnacentral:rRNA from 1 species
GACGUAGGGGGCGAGCGUUGUCCGGAUUCAUUGGGCGUAAAGCGCGCGUAGGCGGCCCGGUAAGUCGGAUGUGAAAUCUCACGGCUCAACCGUGGAACUGCAUUCGAAACUGUCGGGCUAGAGGCAGGUAGGGGAGAUCGGAAUUCCCGGUGUAGCGGUGAAAUGCGCAGAUAUCGGGAGGAACACCGGUGGCGAAGGCGGAUCUCUGGGCCUGUCCUGACGCUGAGGAGCGAAAGCGUGGGGAGCGAACAGG